CCUACGGGUGGCUGCAGUGAGGAAUAUUGGUCAAUGGCCGGAAGGCUGAACCAGCCAUGCCGCGUGAAGGUCAGUGCCCCUUGGGCGUUAAACUUCCUUUGUGCGGGAGCAAUAAUGGUCACGUGUGGCCAGACGAGAGUACCGUACGAAUAAGCAUCGGCUAACCUCGUGCCAGCAGCCGCGGUAAUACGGGGGAAGCAAGCGUUAUUCGGAUUUAUUGGGUUUAAAGGGUGCGUAGGCUGUAGGGUAAGUCAGCGGUGAAAUGCCCCGGCUCAACGGGGUGAAGUGCCAUUGAUACUGCCUUGCUAGAGAGCGGAUGCCGUAGGAGGAAUGUGUGGUGUAGCGGUGAAAUGCAUAGAUAUCACACAGAACACCGAUUGCGAAGGCAUCUCACGAAUCCGCGAUUGACGCUGAUGCACGAAAGCGUGGGUAUCAAACAGGAUUAGAUACCCGAGUAGUC
rnacentral:rRNA from 1 species